UGCCCCUUGGUGUAAGGUAAACCACCUUUGGGCAUCAUCCACAUGGUUUGCAAUUGCUUGGACAAGUGUUGCCCACUUUGGGUAGAUGCCAUUUGCCAAGUAAUACACCAUAUUGUACUGACACCUGUUGAUGUAGUAGUCAAGUUGAGGUGAUUUACCCUCCAUCAGAUUAUUGACGAGGGGUUAACACCCAAGUACUGUAAUGUCAUUUUGGGAUUCUGGAACUCCAAAGAAAGCAUGCCAGAUCCAUGUGUCAAAUGAGGAAACACCCUUUAACAUAAUAGUUGGUUUUCUCAAUCUUCCGCUGAAUCCUCAUUGCCUCCGGUGGGACAGUUC
rnacentral:lncRNA from 1 species